rnacentral:rRNA from 1 species
GACGAACGCUGGCGGCGUGCUUAGCACAUGCAAGUCGAACGGAAAGGCCCUGCUUGCAGGGUACUCGAGUGGCGAACGGGUGAGUAACACGUGGGUGAUCUGCCCUGCACUUCGGGAUAAGCCUGGGAAACUGGGUCUAAUACCGGAUAGGAGCCAUUUUUAGUGUGAUGGUUGGAAAGUUUUUUCGGUGUAGGAUGAGCUCGCGGCCUAUCAGCUUGUUGGUGGGGUAAUGGCCUACCAAGGCGGCGACGGGUAGCCGGCCUGAGAGGGUGGACGGCCACAUUGGGACUGAGAUACGGCCCAGACUCCUACGGGAGGCAGCAGUGGGGAAUAUUGCACAAUGGGCGCAAGCCUGAUGCAGCGACGCCGCGUGGGGGAUGACGGCCUUCGGGUUGUAAACUCCUUUCGCUAGGGACGAAGCUUUUUGUGACGGUACCUAGAUAAGAAGCACCGGCUAACUACGUG